AGGAGUCCAGCCACCUUAACCACCAUGCCAGCCGCCAGCCCUGCUAUUAGCAUAUUUUCAAGUAUACCAUAGUGCUCGUAAAUCAGUACCAGGCUCCCUUAUACAGGAAAUGAUGGAAAUCAACAUCCUGGAGAUUUCUGCACUUUUGCUGUGUUUCCAUGACAGUGUCAGUAAUCUGCCUCACGGUCCGCAUGGGCAGAAAAGUUCAUGGUGGUUUUGACACUCUGGCAUAUCCAGAUGUACUUGAUUGUAAUACGCGGUAUAAUGAAGGCAAGAUGCAAAUCCAGAGAACACAUUCCUUGUAGUACCGAAGGUGGUUCAUCUACAAAGUUAGCCCGACACUAAAAUGAAGCGGGACUUACAAAAAUUUUAAAAUGUCAUGUAAAUGUGCAGCAUUUGUCUUUUCCUAUAUGAGCUCUGAUAGUAAAAUAAUAAAACACUAAUACC